CUGGGGCUAUAACUUAGUUGGUAGAGUGCCUGCCUCCUACCUAAGGCCCUGGGUUCAAUCCCCAGCACCAGG
rnacentral:tRNA from 1 species